UACGUAGGGCGCAAGCGUUGUCCGGAAUUAUUGGGCGUAAAGAGCUCGUAGGCGGCUUGUCGCGUCGUCCGUGAAAACCUGCAGCUCAACUGCAGGCUUGCGGGCGAUACGGGCAGGCUAGAGUUCGGUAGGGAGACGUGGAAUUCCUGGUGUAGCGGUGAAAUGCGCAGAUAUCAGGAAGAACACCCGUGGCGAAGGCGGCUCUCUGGGACGGUACUGACGCUGAGACGCGAAAGCGUGGGGAGCGAACAGG
rnacentral:rRNA from 1 species